AAUAAUAAUUGUCAAGUAUGUAUACUCCAAUUGAAAUGUAUGCAUUUAGUUAUGCUAUUUUGUCAUUGUAGGUAUAUCUAAAAACAUCUCGCAAAAGCUGCAGUUCUCUUGUCUGCAGCCUUUGCAAGUCCUCCCCUUCUAACCCCGCCCAGACUUUAUGUGGCUGUCCAAUCACAGACUUCCCAUUGCAACUCAGUGAGAAGUCUUUGCAAGGC